rnacentral:rRNA from 1 species
AGUGACGGCGUACCUUUUGUAUAAUGGGUCAUCGACUUGGUCUCACGAGCAAGCUUAAGCCGGUAGGUGUAGGCGCAGCGAAAGCGAGUCUUAAUAGGGCGCAUGAGUUCGUGGGAUCAGACCCGAAACCGAGUGAUCUAGGCAUGUCCAGGAUGAAGGUGCGGUAACACGCACUGGAGGUCCGAACCCACACCUGUUGAAAAAGGUCGGGAUGAGGUGUGCCUAGGGGUGAAAGGCCAAUCAAACUCGGAGAUAGCUGGUUCUCUGCGAAAUCUAUUUAGGUAGAGCGUCAUCCGAAUACCCCGGGGGGUAGAGCACUGGAUGGGUAAUGGGGCCCCACAGGCUUACUGAUCCUAACCAAACUCCGAAUACCCGGGAGUACUAGAUGGCAGACACACGGCGGGUGCUAACGUCCGUCGUGGAGAGGGAAACAACCCUGACCUACAGCUAAGGCCCCUAAUUCAUGGCUAAGUGGGAAAGCAGGUGGGACGACCAAAACAACCAGGAGGUUGGCUUAGAAGCAGCCAUCCUUUAAAGAUAGCGUAACAGCUCACUGGUCUAAACAAGUUGUCCUGCGGCGAAGAUGUAACGGGGCUCAAGCCAUGAGCCGAAGCUUAGGAUGCAC